UAAUUUUAACAACACUGGACGUCGAUCAGGCAGGCUACCGGUACUUUGUAGUCUGUGUUCUCGAACUUCUGGCAGGUGAUUUCUUUGAAGUGACGGCGCAUUUGGACCUAUCGAUGUCAAUUUAAAGUUUCCCGGACUUCAAGUAGCAAGGGACGAAUGGAAGUUAUUUUUGUCGCGGAAGCCAACAUUAUUACAUCCAAUACAGACAUUAGAUGGUCUUUCUGAACUCCUGCACAGAGAAUUAAAGAAUUCGAUACCAUACGAUCCAUGAUGACAUGUGAUCGCGUAAUGGAACAAUCUUAUUACCCUUCAGACAACGUUGGAAAGAAGUAGUCACAGAGAAAUCUACGAGAAGUUGAAAAAUACGAAACUAUCUAUAACAUCAAUGAAAACACUCUGAACUUCUGGUCAAAAUCAGAACUCUCGACUAACCUAUCAUGUAACCUAACAUAUCAGAGGAGACUAUGUCACAUCCAACAAACGAUACGCGUUGUGUUUCCUGUCAGACUGCCAAUCACAUUGCUUCAAAUCAAGUUUGCCAACAUUAAUAACACAAAGAUAAAAUAUCUAAUCCCGUACCUAGUCAUCGAUUCUUUAAAGAUAUAGAAUUAAUUCAGAUUUCCCCACAAAUCCUCUCAUUUCUAAAACGUACACAUUAGUAACGUUCCCACGCAUACUUCCCGUUUCAGCGUAAGAGAACGUAAUAAUUUGACCUGCGAGACAGAUUUGCGAACUAUAAUUAAUAGGUAUAACGCAUAUAGGCUGUUAUAUCACAUUAUCUAAUUCAAAUUGGAUUUUCCGGCUUUCUUUUUGUUUGUUCAUUUUUGUCGCAAUACUCGUUUACCUAUGUUUGUGUAUUUUGCACAAUUUUUUGUACGUAUUGGUGACCGGGCAUGGUAUUUAUCAUGUUUUGAACUUUUUAAACGCAUUUUUUUUUUGCUCUCUAAAAAUAUACAUUUUAGUUUGUGUGUAUUAUUGUAAGUUUUCGAAAUUCUAGUUACUAUCUAUCUAAAAGACAAUACUUGCUUAGCUUUUUUACCUAGAAUGAUGUCACUCAAAAAGUGCUAUGACAACAC